rnacentral:lncRNA from 1 species
AUGUACCUAUGAUGCUGUGGUUGGUGCCUCACGGACCUGUUUCCUUGGACAGAUGAGUAGAUGACAUUUGAUUAUUAACCUAAGAGUAGCCAACUUCCAGUUCAAAGGGCAGGUCCUAUGGAAACAGCACAAGGCCAAAAACCAGGCAAUAAGCAAAAGAUGAUGUAAAGAGGAAGUUAAAUAGAGUCCUUAGCCACUUGCCCACGAUGGGUCUUGUAGCCACGUGUUAGACCUAAGCCGGGGUGAGAAGGGUGCGAGUGAGGAGGGAAAGAAGUUGAACUGAAUGCCUUCAAACUUAAAUUUGAAAAUAUUAGGUCUUUAAUAUUUAAACUGAAUUUAA